CGCGAUGGAGGGGGAUAACUACUGGAAACGGUAGCUAAUACCGCAUAACGUCGCAAGACCAAAGAGGGGGACCUUCGGGCCUCUUGCCAUCGGAUGUGCCCAGAUGGGAUUAGCUAGUAGGUGGGGUAACGGCUCACCUAGGCGACGAUCCCUAGCUGGUCUGAGAGGAUGACCAGCCACACUGGAACUGAGACACGGUCCAG
rnacentral:rRNA from 1 species